rnacentral:rRNA from 1 species
AAUCUUCCGCAAUGGACGCAAGUCUGACGGAGCAACGCCGCGUGUGUGAUGACGGUUUCCGGAUCGUAAAACUCUGCUGUCAGGGACGAACAAGUCUCGGAGCGACUGCCGCUACCCUGACGGUACCUGCCGAGACAGACACGGCAAAUCACGUCCGAUACGCCGCGGUAAUACGUAGGUGGCAAGCGUUGUCCGGAUUUAUUGGGCGUAAAGCGCGCGCAGGCGGUCUUUUAAGUCUGAUGUGAAAUCUUACAGCUUAACUGUAAGCGGUCAUUGGAAACUGGGAGACUUGAGUGCAGGAGAGGAGAGUGGAAUUCCAUGUGUAGCGGUGAAAUGCGUAGAGAUAUGGAGGAACGCCAGUGGCGAGGGCGACUCUCUGGUCUGCAACUGACGCUGAGGCGCGAAAGCGUGGGGAUCAAACA